CAGCAGCAGCCGCGGUAAUACGUAGGUGGCAAGCGUUGUCCGGAAUUAUUGGGCGUAAAGCGUGCGCAGGCGGUUAGAUAAGCCAGAUGUGAAAUCCCCGAGCUCAACUUGGGAACUGCGUUUGGAACUGUUUAACUAGAGUGCGUCAGAGGGGGGUGGAAUUCCGCGUGUAGCAGUGAAAUGCGUAGAGAUGCGGAGGAACACCGAUGGCGAAGGCAGCCCCCUGGGAUGACACUGACGCUCAUGCACGAAAGCGUGGGGAGUAAACAGGAUUAGAUACCCGCGUAGUCCCUGUCUCUUAUAC
rnacentral:rRNA from 1 species